GCCCUAGUAGCUCAGCAUC
rnacentral:tRNA from 3 species